rnacentral:rRNA from 1 species
UACAGAGGGGGCAAGCGUUAUUCGGAAUUAUUGGGCGUAAAGGGCGCGUAGGCGGCAUCGCAAGUGGAAGGUGAAAUCCCUCGGCUUAACCGAGGAACUGCCUUCCAAACUGUUUGGCUUGAGUCCGGGAGAGGCGAGUGGAAUUCCCAGUGUAGCGGUGAAAUGCGUAGAUAUUGGGAGGAACACCAGUGGCGAAGGCGGCUCGCUGGACCGGAACUGACGCUGAGGCGCGAAAGCGUGGGGAGCGAACAGG